UUGAACGCUGGCGGCAUGCUUUACACAUGCAAGUCGAACGGCAGCGCGGGGCAACCUGGCGGCGCGUGGCGAACGGGUGAGUAAUAUAUCGGAACGUACCCAAGAGUGGGGGAUAACGUAGCGAAAGUUACGCUAAUACCGCAUACGAUCUAAGGAUGAAAGUGGGGGAUCGCAAGACCUCAUGCUCCUGGAGCGGCCGAUAUCUGAUUAGCUAGUUGGUGAGGUAAAGGCUCACCAAGGCGACGAUCAGUAGCUGGUCUGAGAGGACGACCAGCCACACUGGAACUGAGACACGGUCCAGACUCCUACGGGAGGCAGCAGUGGGGAAUUUUGGACAAUGGGCGCAAGCCUGAUCCAGCAAUGCCGCGUGAGUGAAGAAGGCCUUCGGGUUGUAAAGCUCUUUUGUCAGGGAAGAAACGGUAGAGGCUAAUAUCCUUUGCUAAUGACGGUACCUGAAGAAUAAGCACCGGCUAACUACGUG
rnacentral:rRNA from 1 species